AUAAAAUUAAUGCUUUGAAUAAAUUUGUUUAUACUAUUGCUCUGUUAGAGUGUUGCUACUUUUGGUUUGUUUUUCAAUUGUUUUUCCAAUAUGUAUUUAGUUUGAUUUUUAAUAAUCUUCUCUCUCUCUUUUUUCUUUUCUUCUCCUUUACCUCUUGCUCCUCUUCCUUACUCUCCUUGCCUUCCUCCUCAGUCUCCUCAUCCUCAUCUUCCUCCUCAUCCUCUUUCUUUGUUUUCAUUACAAAAUAAAAUAAGCAAUCAGAAAAGUUCAUACAGAUAUUGUUACUUAUCUUUAGGGACCUGGAUCUAACUUAGUGCUGUUGCUUCUGUUUCUUCUCUUUUGUCCUCCUCUUCUUUUUCUCCUUUGUGUCCUGUUUUACUUUUUAAAAAUAGAUGCCACAACUCUGAUUUUUAAUCUGAUUGUGUAAAUGAUCCUUAAUAGUAAAAUCAAUUUUAAUAUCUUAUAAAACAGAAGCACAGCAAAGCAUUUUGCAGAAUUUACCAUAAAGUAAAUAAUAACCAUUCCUAGUAUGAUAAUGCUGCAACUAUUUUUCUUUCAUCCUCUGCAACAUUUUUAUCUGACACAGUCUCUGCUGUUUCCAAGUUCAACGUCCUGCAGCAAGCCUUGCCAGCAAUACAGAAUACUUUCAAUUAGUAGUUCUCUACUUCUCUGGUCGCUAAGCAACUGACCUGUGGUGAAGAAUACAUAAUGAUCUGCAUAGACACCUUAGAGCAAUAGAAAGUAUAAGCUUCACAAGUUUCAUUUGCUCUCUUGUGUUGAUGUUACAACAACCAGUUAAAUGCAUGGAAAUAUUUGAUAGUAGUUUGCUAUAAUAAACUUUAAUAAAGAUUAGAGGAAGCCUUGGAGAAAGGUAGAAAUAAACACAACAUAAAAUAUUGUAUUUGUCAUUUGUUCAUGUAUGUCAUUUUAUUGUUUAUAGGGAGGGUAAGCAAUCAGGUUAAUAUUUUAUUAAAUGUUUAUAUUCUAGCUACUGUUUAAGACAGAAUUCAUCAAGUAGCAGAAGUGAUGGAAGGGCCAAGGGGAAGAAAGAUGGACAAAACCUGAAAAUUGAAAGUGCAAUAAAAUGAAAAUUACAAAUGAAAACCAGUAUGCCUGAGAUAUACAUGACUGUUUAGUAGAGUGUCUUCAUGUGGGUUAAAGAAGAAAAGGAAUUACCAGCUGGAAUCAGCAGAACAGAUUUAGCACUUGACCCUUGGAUACUUUUCAUUCUAUUUAUCUAUCAUAUUUUUAUUGGUUUGUAUUCCAUUGACUACUAUAUGCACCGACCCUCAGCAAAUUCAUUCAAUAGAGAGGAGAGAUUAUAUCUCCACUGUAUCAGUGGAGCUGCUUAGGAACAUUUCUCCCGCUUCUUGUAUGUAUUUUGUCCUAUUUGUACAUUGUAUUUUAUGAGCUGCUUUAGAAUAGUAGAAUAACUUUCCUUUAUAUGGU
rnacentral:lncRNA from 1 species